UUUAACGGCCACGGUACCCUAACCGUGCAAAGGUAGCAUAAUCACUUGUUCUUUAAAUAAGGACUCGUAUCAACGGCAUCACGAGGGUUCUACUGUCUCCUUUUUUUAAUCAGUGAAACUAAUCUCCCCGUGAAGAAGCGGGGAUAUUCUUAUAAGACGAGAAGACCCCAUGGAGCUUUAAACCCAACUAUAUACCUAACUAUUAUAACCACUUAAUCCCUUAGCAUUAAUAUAUUUGGUUUUAGGUUGGGGCGACCACGGAGUAUAACUAAACCUCCACAAUGAACGAAACAACCCUUCUUAUCUGAGAAUUACACCUCUAAGAAUUAGUACACUAACAUAAAAUGACCCAUUAUUGAUCAACGAACCAAGUUACCCUGGGGAUAACAGCGCAAUCCAUUUUAAGAGCCCCUAUCGACAAAUG
rnacentral:rRNA from 1 species